GUAACACCCUAAUCUAAUUAAGGAGUUAAAUAUAAAAUUUAAAUAAAUAUUUAAUGCGGAAGUCUUUUAAAAUAAUUUAAAACUCACUUUUAAAAUAAAUAUUUUCGAAAAUAAUUUUAAGAAAAAGAAAUCUUUAAAUAAAAUUGGUUCUUAAAGCACUUUUAAAACGAUUUAUAAGAUAUCAAAAUUUUCAAUAAUGUAUUCAAA
rnacentral:lncRNA from 1 species